CAGGCCUAACACAUGCAAGUCGAACGGACGAGUAAGAGCUUGCUCUUACAAGUUAGUGGCGGACGGGUGAGUAACACGUGAGUAACCUGCCCUUGAGAGUGGAAUAACGUUUGGAAACGAACGCUAAUACCGCAUAACGUAGUUGAAUGGCAUCAUUUAAUUACCAAAGAUUUAUCGCUCAAGGAUGGACUCGCGCCCGAUUAGCUAGUGGUGGGGUAAUGGCUCACCAAGGCGACGAUCGGUAGCCGGACUGAGAGGUUGAACGGCCACAUUGGGACUGAGACACGGCCCAGACUCCUACGGGAGGCAGCAGUGGGGGAUAUUGCACAAUGGGCGAAAGCCUGAUGCAGCGAUGCCGCGUGUAGGAAGACGGCCUUAUGGGUUGUAAACUACUGUUUUCGGGGACGAUAAUGACGGUACCCGACAAGAAAGCUCCGGCUAACUACGUGCCAGCAGCCGCGGUAAUACGUAGGGAGCGAGCGUUAUCCGGAAUUACUGGGUGUAAAAGGGAGACGUAGGCGGGAAGGUAAGUUGGAUGUGAAAACUACGGGCUCAACUCGUAGACUGCAUUCAAAACUACUUUUCUUGAGUGAUGUAGAGGCAGGCGGAAUUCCUAGUGUAGACGGUGAAAUGCGUAGAUAUUAAGGAGGAACACCAGUGGCGAAGGCGGCCUGCUGGGCAUUUACUGAACGCUGAGGCUCGAAAGUGUGGGUAGCAAAACAGGAUUAAGAUACCCUGGCAGUCCACACUGUAAACGAUGAUUACUAGGUGUGGGGGGUCUGACCCCCUCCGUGCCGGAGUUAACACAAUAAGUAAUCCACCUGGGGAGUACUGCCGCAAGGUUGAAACUCAAAGGAAUUGACGGGGGCCCGCACAAGCAGUGGAGUAUGUGGUUAAUUCGAAACAACGCGAAAACCCUUACAAGUCUGACAUCGGAUGCUUACCUCAGAGAUUAGGAAAGUCCUCCGGAACAUCCCGACAGGGUGGUGCAA
rnacentral:rRNA from 1 species